UUACAUAUAUGCUCUGUAUUCUAGGAUUCUUCUAAGAUGAUACUUAGGGUGCGUUUGGUUCGCACUAUCUUUUAAAGAUUCCUAGUAAUCCAAUGGGAAUAAAAAAAUAUGACGGUGUUUGGCUAAACGCACUAAGUAAUCUAGUUGGUAAUAUUAGAUUCACUUGGGAAUAAGAUUCACCCCAAAGUACUAAUCUCAUUUCCUUAAGAGAGGGUGGGUAUUCUCAUAUUAAUGGAUUGGGAUAAUCAUAAUAUGUCUAAUUUCUUUCUUUCUUCUUACCCGCCGGCUAAUUGAUAUUAUUUUUCUUUACACUCUAACCUUAUUUCUCUCUCUAAACUUUUUUCUCUCUAAAAUUCAACUUUUUUUUCUCUCUCUAAACUAAGCUUUCUCUCUCUCUUUCUAAAAUUUCAACUCUCUCACUCCCUCUAGUUUCGACUAUAUUUUUCUUUCUAUUUUUUUAAUUAUGCUCUCUCUCUAAAUUAUACUCUCUCUCCUUUUUUUCUAAAAAGAUGUUGAAACUUUUGUUAACAUUAUCUAAAAUUAAUUAAAUAAAUAAAUAACUUAAUUGUAUAUUUUUUGUAAUAUUAAAUAACAUGGCUAAUUAAUAUUACCGUGCGAACCAAACACAGAAAUUUCACAUUCUUAGUAAUAGAAUGAAUAGGAAUAAGAUUCUCGGAUAUCUUUUAUUCCUAGUAAUAUUUCAUAAUGCGAACCAAAUGCACCCUUAGGUACUUUGGUAGCACGAAACAGU
rnacentral:lncRNA from 1 species